CAGCUCACCUGGGCCGGCUCUCUGCCCAGCAACCUCCCAGCAGUCAGGGCUCCUAGCAGCUGCCCCCUGCCCUGCCCACUGGGGCCCAGGAAAAGCAGAGAGUUGCUGAAGGUCUCCCGGCAGUAGCGGCUGUCACUGCUACGGGGGGGUGAUCUAGGAGUGAACGCCACGAGGCAGGUGGGGAAGGCUGCUCUGAACGUGUCUGUGACUAUAGCUCCGUGAGAAAGUUGGCACCCCGAAGAUGAAAAAUGAGCUCAGUAAGGGAAGCAGAAGAGCUGCCUUUAGAGCUGGAACUCUCCCCACACCAUCACAGUGACAGUGAUGCUGGAGCCACUCACCUGGUGAGUCAGCACAUCAGAGUGGCCUACCCCUCAGGAGGGCCCCACCCAGGCCGUUCCCGGCCCCCAGGAGCUCUGGCCCAGCCCCAGCGCAGGGGAGUCUGUGAGUCACCAUCAUCAUUUCUGCCUCCCCAACUCAGGUAACCUUAUUGGAUCACCUAUGUGUUCCCACCUUGAGGUGACAACUGAGCCCUGGCGAUGGGAGAGCAUCCUGAGUCCUGGGUGCCUUCCUCCUGUCAGGAGACCUGUUUCCUGGUACGUUGCACCUGGGAGAUGCCAGGCCUGCUCUCCUCCCUCGUUUCCUCCCCAACGUGCAAGAACAAAUCACCCGCGUCACCACACCUCUCAAUGGCCCUGAGAACUUCACGGACUGAUUUCAUCUGUGCCAUUGUCAACUUAAGAAGGCCCUUAAUAUGGCCGGGCGCGGUGGCUGAUGCCUGUAAUCCCAGCACUUUGGGAGGCUGAGGCGGGCA
rnacentral:antisense_RNA from 1 species